AGACAGCCAGGAUGUUGGCUUAGAAGCAGCCAUCAUUUAAAGAAAGCGUAAUAGCUCACUGGUCGAGUCGGCCUGCGCGGAAGAUGUAACGGGGCUAAACCAUGCACCGAAGCUGCGGCAGCGACACUGUGUGUUGUUGGGUAGGGGAGCGUUCUGUAAGCCUGUGAAGGUGUGUCGUGAGGCAUGCUGGAGGUAUCAGAAGUGCGAAUGCUGACAUAAGUAACGAUAAAGCGGGUGAAAAGCCCGCUCGCCGGAAGACCAAGGGUUCCUGUCCAACGUUAAUCGGGGCAGGGUGAGUCGACCCCUAAGGCGAGGCCGAAAGGCGUAGUCGAUGGGAAACGGGUUAAUAUUCCCGUACUUGGUGUUACUGCGAAGGGGGGACGGAGAAGGCUAUGUUGGCCGGGCGACGGUUGUCCCGGUUUAAGCGUGUAGGUGUGUGUUCCAGGUAAAUCCGGUUCACUUUAACACUGAGGCGUGACGACGAGGCACUACGGUGCUGAAGCAACAAAUGCCCUGCUUCCAGGAAAAGCCUCUAAGCAUCAGGUAACAUCAAAUCGUACCCCAAACCGACACAGGUGGUCAGGUAGAGAAUACCAAGGCGCUUGAGAGAACUCGGGUGAAGGAACUAGGCAAAAUGGUGCCGUAACUUCGGGAGAAGGCACGCUGACACGUAGGUGAAGUGAUUUACUCAUGGAGCUGAAGUCAGUCGAAGAUACCAGCUGGCUGCAACUGUUUAUUAAAAACACAGCACUGUGCAAACACGAAAGUGGACGUAUACGGUGUGACGCCUGCCCGGUGCCGGAAGGUUAAUUGAUGGGGUCAGCGCAAGCGAAGCUCCUGAUCGAAGCCCCGGUAAACGGCGGCCGUAACUAUAACGGUCCUAAGGUAGCGAAAUUCCUUGUCGGGUAAGUUCCGACCUGCACGAAUGGCGUAAUGAUGGCCAGGCUGUCUCCACCCGAGACUCAGUGAAAUUGAACUCGCUGUGAAGAUGCAGUGUACCCGCGGCAAGACGGAAAGACCCCGUGAACCUUUACUAUAGCUUGACACUGAACAUUGAGCCUUGAUGUGUAGGAUAGGUGGGAGGCUUUGAAGUGUGGACGCCAGUCUGCAUGGAGCCGACCUUGAAAUACCACCCUUUAAUGUUUGAUGUUCUAACGUGGACCCGUUACCCGGGUUGCGGACAGUGUCUGGUGGGUAGUUUGACUGGGGCGGUCUCCUCCUAAAGAGUAACGGAGGAGCACGAAGGUUGGCUAAUCCUGGUCGGACAUCAGGAGGUUAGUGCAAUGGCAUAAGCCAGCUUGACUGCGAGCGUGACGGCGCGAGCAGGUGCGAAAGCAGGUCAUAGUGAUCCGGUGGUUCUGAAUGGAAGGGCCAUCGCUCAACGGAUAAAAGGUACUCCGGGGAUAACAGGCUGAUACCGCCCAAGAGUUCAUAUCGACGGCGGUGUUUGGCACCUCGAUGUCGGCUCAUCACAUCCUGGGGCUGAAGUAGGUCCCAAGGGUAUGGCUGUUCGCCAUUUAAAGUGGUACGCGAGCUGGGUUUAGAACGUCGUGAGACAGUUCGGUCCCUAUCUGCCGUGGGCGCUGGAGAACUGAGGGGGGCUGCUCCUAGUACGAGAGGACCGGAGUGGACGCAUCACUGGUGUUCGGGUUGUCAUGCCAAUGGCACUGCCCGGUAGCUAAAUGCGGAAGAGAUAAGUGCUGAAAGCAUCUAAGCACGAAACUUGCCCCGA
rnacentral:rRNA from 1 species